UGGAUGAAUCCUACACUGUCGGCAAGGUC
rnacentral:piRNA from 1 species